UACGAAGGGGGCGAGCGUUGUUCGGAAUUACUGGGCGUAAAGGGCGCGUAGGCGGCGACCCAAGUCAGAUGUGAAAGUCCUGGGCUUAACCUGGGGACUGCAUUUGAUACUGGGUUGCUUGAAUUCGGGAGAGGAUAGCGGAAUUCCCAGUGUAGAGGUGAAAUUCGUAGAUAUUGGGAAGAACACCGGUGGCGAAGGCGGCUAUCUGGACCGACAUUGACGCUGAGGCGCGAAAGCGUGGGUAGCAAACGGG
rnacentral:rRNA from 1 species